rnacentral:rRNA from 1 species
UACGUAGGGGGCUAGCGUUGUCCGGAAUCAUUGGGCGUAAAGCGCGUGUAGGCGGUUCGGUAAGUCUGCUGUGAAAGUCGGGGGCUCAACCCUCGAAUGCCGGUGGAUACUGUCGGACUAGAGUGCGGAAGAGGCGAGUGGAAUUCCUGGUGUAGCGGUGAAAUGCGCAGAUAUCAGGAAGAACACCCGUGGCGAAGGCGGCUCUCUGGGACGGUACUGACGCUGAGACGCGAAAGCGUGGGGAGCGAACAGG